GACGAACGCUGGCGGCGUGGAUUAGGCAUGCAAGUCGAACGGUAGGAUACCUUCGGGUAUCUGAGAGUGGCGAACGGGUGAGUAACACGUAGGUGAUCUACCCUCAAGAUUGGGACAACCCAGGGAAACUUGGGCUAAUACCGGAUGAAAGCAGCAGUGAUGUUGUUUGAAAGGUGGCGUAAGCUGCCGUUUGGGGAUGAGCCUGCGCUCUAUUAGUUAGUUGGCGGGGUAAAGGCCCACCAAGGCGAUGAUAGAUAGGCGGCCUUAACGGGUGGUCGCCCACACUGGGAUUGAGAUACGGCCCAGACUCCUACGGGAGGCAGCAGUCGAGAAUAGUCUACAAUGGCCGAAAGGCUGAUAGUGCGACGCCGCGUGAACGAAGAAGCCCCUUGGGGUGUAAAGUUCUUUUAUAUGUGAGCAGUGCUUUCUAUGUGAACAGCAUGGGGAGAGAGAUAUUAGCAUAUGAAUAAGCAACGGCUAACUCCGUGCC
rnacentral:rRNA from 1 species